UCUAUUUCUUGCUUGUGGGUUUUGUCAUUUUCUUUGCCACAUUGUGUAUGGUUUUGUUGCUCUAAACUGGUAGGAUCUACAGCUGGAAAAUUUGGUGCAGUUUAGUGUACUUUUGAAUUUUGGGGUGUGUUUUGCUCCCGAUUUAAGUUACAUACCAACUUUUCACCAUAAGCUCAUUACCUUUUUUAUUUGGAUAACAUAUAGAAGAAACUUGAAGAAGAUAAAGAGGUGCAACUUAGCUAAACAGAGAACCUUCCCAUAAAUUAUCUAAGAUUCUCACUCGACGACAAUUAUUGGGGAUCCCAUGGUUGAUAAGUUCAGAAUAGCGAAGCAAAAUGGAAGAUCUCCUUGCUUUUUAAGGGAGGGAUAAAUGGCUUCUGAGACAAGUGGUAACUGGUAUUUACGGGGAAGGACCACUUGGAUGGAGAGAUUUUAAUACCCAAGGGAAGCUCAAAUGAUCGACCUUGGUUUGAAUCACUAAUAGAACUCCUUUGUUUGACAGAUUCACUAGUUUCAAAGUUGGUAAUGGGCAGUUUAUUAGUUCCUGAUAUGAUGUGUGUGUUGGCUCCUCUCCUCUUUAAGAUGGUUUCCAGAUAUUUUUAAUCUCUUUAAAUUGGGGUGCUAUGGUGGCUGAUUGUUGGGAUAACGAUCUGGGAACUUGGGUUCUAAGUGUUAGAGGAGACAUUUUGAUAGAGAGGUGGACAAUUGAAUGGUUUGACUAUUAAAUAUGGAGGUUGUCUUUGGCGUGUUUGAGCAUGUCCUCCAACGUUCAAUUAUUAAAAAAAACAAGGCAUGCUGAAUUGUGUGUCUGACUUGUGCCUGGCAUGUGCUCGAGUUUGUCAUGUGUUGAAUACCUAUAGAUAUCUACACUUCCUAAAAAAAGAAGUAUUUGUGGUUCCUAUUUCAUUAGAAACUCCCUGAUCACCCUAUCUCUCGAGUCUUUUCUCAAGAUCAAAUUUCAUUCUUGAUUAUUGAAAUUUCAACCAUCUUUGAUUAAAACAUCUUUUUUAUAUUAUAAUCACGUAUUGUUGUUGGAUCUAUCCUUUUAUUUCAAUCACGAACAAAAUGUUUCUAUUACGAAAAAAAAAAAAAAAAA